CCUCGCCAGCCGCAAGCCUUGCUCGGGGCUCGGUCCCGAGGGCAGCCCAUCUGCGGGAAGGAGCCCGCCCUAAGGCGCGCUGAGCCGCCGAGCCCCGCAGGGGCGGUGGGGGCUGGGCGCCCGCCCUUCCUGCAGCCCCUCCCCCAGCCGUCUGGAGCCGCGGCGGGGACGAAGCCCGCCGGGCUGAGGCGGCGGCGCUCCCCCUGUUCCGUCCCGUCCGCAGGCCGAGACGUCGGGAAGCUGAAGAAAUUCCUGCGGGCGUUCGUGGGAAAGCAGAGCGGGCAACUCACUUUAAACUCCCCACCCAAAGGGAGUGGGCUUAGUUCAGCGGUCGCCCUGAGUGGCCAGGCCAGCAUGGAGGAGGUGCCUGAGGGGACCUGACGCCAGCAUUGGACAAUCAGUCCUCUUCCUGAGCCCAGACCACCUUCACAUUUGCCGCUAGACAUGAAUGGCUUGGAGGCAUCAGGAGCUUGCUCUAUGAGGAAAGCGGAGGCUCAGCGAGGGACCUCGGCUUCCUUCUUUGGACUAGAUGUUUUCUUGGAGAUCAGCUUCCUCUCCUGAGCUGGGCAGGGACCAAGGCGAAGGGCAGGAAGAGAGCUCACACUCCCUGUGCCCCCGCCCAGCCUCAGGGCUGCCCUGCCUGAAGAAUGAUACUCCCGCCAUAUCCUCAGCCCUUCUCACUCCCCAAGCUUCCCAGGCGGCUCUGAGGUCUGAGACACCAGCUGUGCCUGGCGCCUGGAGUCCACGUGCCGUUCACGGAGAGACUUCCAGCAUCUCCUCCUUGGAAU